rnacentral:rRNA from 1 species
GAUGAACGCUGGCGGCGUGCUUAACACAUGCAAGUCGAACGAUGAAGGAGGAGCUUGCUCCUCCGGAUUAGUGGCGAACGGGUGAGUAACACGUGAGCAAUCUGCCCCAGACUCUGGGAUAAGCGUUGGAAACGACGUCUAAUACCGGAUACGAGCCAAGCAGGCAUCUGCAUCGGCUGGAAAUAACUUCGGUCUGGGAUGAGCUCGCGGCCUAUCAGCUAGUUGGUGAGGUAACGGCUCACCAAGGCGACGACGGGUAGCCGGCCUGAGAGGGUGACCGGCCACACUGGGACUGAGACACGGCCCAGACUCCUACGGGAGGCAGCAGUGGGGAAUAUUGCACAAUGGGCGCAAGCCUGAUGCAGCAACGCCGCGUGAGGGACGAAGGCCUUCGGGUUGUAAACCUCUUUUAGCAGGGAAGAAGCGAAAGUGACGGUACCUGCAGAAAAAGCACCGGCUAACUACGUGCCAGCCGCCGCAGUAA